AUACUGUGAUGUACACUGAUUGUUGAUUGUGUCUGUUGUUAUCAGCUUAAUAUCUGAUACGGGUUGUAUUUGGACCCAAGAUAUUAAACUUCUUUUGCAAGUUGGCGGAGUGUUUGAAGCCUGCUUCACCUCCACCGCGGGUCGGCCCGGUAUUGCACUAUCUUCGGGAUCGGUCCACGGUUU